rnacentral:sRNA from 1 species
CUUUUGCGUGAGGGAUUGAAGCGGCAUCCUUUUUUGCGUUUUUACAGUACAAAAUGAACGCGAAAAAGAUAUAGUGUAAAGCCCGACCCCGC